UUCAGAUUAGGGGGGAAAAUUCUAAUUUUAAUUCAAAUCCAAAUGGGUCUAACGGAAUAAUUAAUCCGGGGUAGUUUAGUAAUUUCGUAUCAAUUAGCUUUAACCACUACAAAUAGAAUUUUCUCGUCAUCGACUCAAAAAAACUUGGUCUUUACGAUUCAAAUGAUCAACAUCAGAAUCAACCUGUUUCGGUUCAAGCCGGUGAUGAAUCUGGGGACGAGGACGCAAUUUGGGGGAAAAUUCUUGUCUCCGCCGUCAAGAGAAGCGUGUGACUGAAUCGGAAAACCUCUCCGAUUACAACGCAAAACAAGAAUCAGAACAGAAUCGUGUAAUUGAAUCUGGGUUCGUUGCUUCAAAUGUAUCACAAAUCCUUCUGAUUACGCAAAAUAAGAGAACAAAAGGGUAUUUCGCUAGCCAAGACAUACAAUGGAACUUUUGACAAAGGUUUUCAAAAGCCAACAAAGGUAUGGUUAAGUAGCUCUCUCUCUGUCCCACUUAUCAUGUCUCUGGCACUGUCUCAAAAACAGAGCAUAAAUCCACGAAAACCCACACUCUAACGCACAAAAAAAUAUAUCAAACACACAAAACACAAAACGAAAUUCACACAAACAAAAAACAUAGCACACAACGUCCAAACGCAACUUAAAGAAACAGAAAACAGAACAUAAAUCCAUGAAAACCCACACUCGAACAUACACAAAAAAACAUAUCACACACACAAAACGAAAUUGAAACGCACAAACAAAAAACAUAGCACACAACGUUCAAACGCAAUUUCAAGAAACAGAAAAUAAACUUUCACAGGAAGUUUUUUUAACAAAAAGUGUGAGUAAUCCCAUUUGACGUUGUGACUGUCCCUUAUUUUUUACUUUCUUAUCUACUUGCUUUAGUAUAGCUUGUAUUAACUUAUAUAUUUGAAAAUGCUUUCGUGUACACGAGCAUUGUUUGCAGUUUAAACCAGGUUUUCAUAAGAAAAAGCAAAAGCUUCAGAUGUGUUUCAAUAUACUCAUGACUGACAAGGAAUAACUUUGUGUGAGCCUGCUGAUGUAUGAGAGUUGAUAAAGAGACUUGAAGAAGUUCACGCUAUAGAAAGCAUAAAUUCAACGUAUAAAGUGAAUAAGGUUUGGACUGGUGGACUUGCACUGAGAGUGUGGAUGAACAAAACAUUUGUCACAUUAAUGAUCAUUCUCAUUGUUCCUUGGUUGUGAUAUAGAUCAUGCGAAGGGAAACAAAUAUAAGUUCUCAUGACUGAUUUGUUUUACGGAUGGCACUUUGCUGGAACUUUCGAUUGUCAGUCAAGGACUGAAGGUCCAAUUGGAACAAUGAGGUUUGAUGCUGAGCCAACAGUGGUAUCCACAUUGCUCUUAGGUUGUUGGAUCUCAUCAGGGAUCAAUUCCCUACUAUCUCUUUUGCUGAUUUCCAUCAGUUACAUGAUUUUAGAUUUUUUAAAAGCACUCUUUGGUUGACGGUGAUAACUUUAGGGUUUGGAUUCUAACUCUCGAUGUCCUUUUGGUGUAAAAAUUGAUCUUUCAUCUUGCUGGUGUUGUGGCCGUUGAAGUUACCGGUGGCCCUGGAAGAGAGGUUAAUCAUUGCUGAGAGAAAGUGUUCUGCUUUCUUUGUAGAGAUGGCUGAUUGAUAAUGACAUCCCCAGCCACCUCGAGAGGGUCGUCUUCCUGAUGCUACAAAGGGUUUUGAUCACUUGAGUGAUGUAUUUGCUAAGCAGAUGGGCUUGUCUGACAAGGACAUUGUCGUUUUAUCUGGUGCCCACAUUUCUAUUUCUCCAUUUCAGAGCUAACAACACUUGUGAAAAAGAGAUCCUUAAGCUGCAAAGCACAGAAGGGAGAUUAUUCGCUAGCCAAGACAUACAACUGUUAAGGUCAAGUCUCUUCCUCUCUCUCCUUUACCGCAAUUAGACACGUAGGAUAUAGAGGCUUGCACUAUCCCAAAAAUUGUUUACUUCUGUACCAUUCUAUAUCUCUUACAAAACGUUUGUCUGUUUUCUUUUUUAUCUUUGAAUAAGAACUAGAUAAGGUGAACUAGAGAAGAUGAAGCUGACCAAAUGUCGACAGGGAGGAUUCUGUAAGUUUGUCAUUUUUGGUUUUAUGAUCUUCUGAAUUUAAGCUAUUCGUUCUAUGUUUAAGCUGCUUGUUAUUAACAAAUGUUCUUUGGUUUCAAGAGCUUUCUUAAGUUGAAAUGGAAAUUUUGACAAAGGGUUUCAAGAUGAAGGAUUGUUUAGCCGUAAAGAAGCUUUGAAGACCAUUUAGUAGCCAAAAAAAGGUAUGGUUAAGUAGCUCUCUCUCUCACUUAUCAUGUCUCUUGCACUGUCUUAAAAACAGAGCAUCAAUUCAUGAAAACACACUCAACGCACACAAAAAAAACAAAAAAAAAUUCACGAACUUCAAACGCACAAACAAAAAACACAGCACACAACCUCCAAACGCAACUUCAAGAAACAGAAAACAGAACAUAAAUCCACGAAAACCGACACUCGAACGUACACAAAAAAAAAUCAAACACACAACACUUAAUUAAAAGUUACACACAAAGAAAAAAAAAACAGAGCACACCACGUCCAAAAGCAAUUUCAAAAACAGAAAACAGCUUUCACAGAAUUGUUUUUAACAAAAAAUGUGAAUAAUCACAUCUGAUGUCAAGAACUUGCUUUGUUCCCUUGUUUAUUACUUUCUUAUCUACUUACGUUAGUAUAGCUUGUAUUAACUUAUUUUUUUCUUCAAGCGAAAUGCAAACAUGCUAUAUAGUUGAAAAUGCUUUCGUGUACAUGAGGAUGGUUUGCAGUUUAACUCAUGAAUGAUGAGGUAAUCUUGUUAAACCAUAAAUGUGACUUUAUGUAAAACUUCUUUAAGUAUUCAUGGGUUUCAGUUAAGAUUUUCCCUUUAUUUUAAGGAUUGCUCCGACCGGUUAUCAAAAUUAAAGAAGGUUAGUACUUUAUAGUAUUGUGUUUUCUCAUAAUUAAGUUGUGUGGUUAUGUCUGUUUGAUGUAGACAUUGUUCAGUAUUUGGUGUAUAAUCCUUUAAUUGACUUAAUUGAUGUGUAACUUGCAUGAAUUACUUUGUGUGAGCCUGCUGAUGUAUCAUUAAGGAGUUGACAAAGAGACUUGAAGAAGGCAUACCGAUCAAGAGUGAGUGACAAGAGGGAUGAAAUCUUCCUAUCUUGCUUUCAAUUAGUUUCUGGAAGUGCUUUAGGUCCAAAAUCCUGGCGUUGAGAACUAGAUGAUGCAGAGAAAGAGAAGCAUGUAUUUCUAUCUGUUCACGCCAUAGAAAGCAUAAAAUCAACGUAUAAAGUGAAUAAAGUUUGGACUGGUGAUCCUUUCUCUCCAAGACUAUUCCCUUGGGAAGUUCAAGUGGGUUAAAAGGACCAAUAGCCUUCUCCUUUAGAGAUCUCUCCCUCGAGUUAUUGGAUAUCAAGAAACAACCUGAGAGGGAAUUUUUUGACUGAUCUAAAGUAUCUGAUGUUCUUUAAGGUUGAGCUCAUAGAGAGGCUUUUCGUUUGAUAGACAUUUGAAAGGAAAUAACUUGGAUGGGUUUGUCCCAAGAUCUAUAAGGAAAAGAAGAAGGGCUGGUGGACUUGCACUAAGAGGUACAUUUUCUUGUCAAUACCCCGGAACCAUAGUCAUCUUGGAAAGAAAAAGAAGAGGAGCGAGCUUUUUUUCACAGUGCAUCAUCGGAACUUGUAAGUUUGUCAUUUUUGGUUUAAAGAUCUUUGGAAUCCAAAUAUAUGUUCUAUAUUUAAGCUGCUUGUUAUUAACAAGGGUUAUUUGGUUUCAAGAGCUUUCUUAAGUUGAAAUGGAACUUUUGACAAAGGGUUUUAAGAUGAAGGAUUGUUUGGCUGCAAAGAAAAUCAUUCAGUAGUAUCCAACAAAGGUAUGUAUGGUUAAGUAGCUUUCUCUCUCUCUCUCUCUCACUUAUCAUGUCUCUUGCACUGUCUCAAAAAUAGAACAUAAAUCUACGAAAAUCCACACUCAAAUGCACACAAAACUAAUUUAAAGUCACCGAAACACAAAACGAAAUUCAAACAAACAAACAAAAAACAUAGCACACAACGUCCAAAUGCAACUUCAAGAAACAGAGAACAGUACAUAAAUCCACGAAAACCCACACUCAAACGCACACAAAAAUUAAUUAAAAGUCACCAAAACACAAAACAAAAUACAUAGCACACAACGUCCAAACGCAACUUCAAGAAACAGAAAACAAACUUUCACAGGAAAUUUUUAAAAGUGGGAAUCACAUUUGAUAUCAAGAACUUGCUUUGUGACUGUUCCCUUAUUUCUUACUUUAAUAUCUACUUGCUUUGGUACAGCUUGUAUUAACUUAUUUACUUCUUCAAGUGAAAUGCAAACAUGCUAUAUAGUUGAAAAUGCUUUCGUGUACACGAGCAUUGUUUGCAGUUUAAACCAGGUUUUCAUAAGAAAGAGCAAAAGUUUCAGAUACGUUUCAAUAUACUCAUGAAUGAUAAGAGGUUUCAGCUGUGAUCUUCCAUUUAUUCAGAGGAUAGCUCCGACGGGAAAUAACUUUGUGUGAGUCUGAUGAUGUAUCUAUUAAGGAGUUGAUAAAGAGACUUAAAGAAGGUACACCGAGCAAGAGUAGGUGACAAGAGGGAAGUUGUUGUAAAGGUCCAAAGUCCUGGCGUUGAGAAAUUGAUGAUGAUAGAUAUAAUAAACUUGCAAAUACAUGCCGAAAACGAGAAGCAGAUUGGGUAUGAAUUCGACUUUGAAAGGGAGGCCAAUGCAAUGGAAAAGCUCCAACGUUUUCUUUAUGAUAACAAUAGAUAGAGCCAUGUUCUGGUUCCCAGGGUGCUACGAAAUUUGGUGAUCACCAGUGACACUUAUGGGAGAGCCAAGCAUUUUUUUGGUAGUUCCUGGUAAGGUUAAAAGUAUGAAUGAGAACCUCGUCUGAGAAUAUUGGUUUAGUAAGUAUUAUUUCUAUGAUUGUAUUAAUUUAAUACUCGUGAUAUAUAUUGAAACAGCUGCUUCGCCUAAAAGUGAUUAUGAACCUCUGGAAUUGUCCUGGACAUCAGGCUAUCCAAAUACUCUGUUCUAUACCUACCUUUAUUUUGCAGUUGCGAGCAGAAAAAUCAAGAUAUCCACAGCACAAUCUCUGAAUGAAUUUUCCACCACCAUCAAAGACGUUCACGCCAUAGAAAGCAUAAAAUCAACGUAUAAAGUGAAUAAGGUUUGGACUGGUAAUCCUUGCUCUCCAAGACUAUUCCCUUGGGAAGGUACUUCUAAUUACCAAAUCAAGUCCCUGUGAGUCAUUCAUUUCAACCAGACAAUAACCAAUUUUUGUAAUCUCCCUCAAGGAUAAUUCUGUUGAUGAGCUUGUUUUUGUUUUUUUUUGAUGCGAGAAUGAGUCUUAGUACAAGUUGGUUACAAGGACCAAUAGCCGUCUCAUUUAGAAAUCUCUCCCUUCUUGAGUCAUUUUUCAUAGUGUAUUCAGGAGCUUAUUCAGGACCACUUCUGCCUUCGGGAAAGACAAGGUUCACAUGUAGCAUUACAAACAACUUCGAAAGUGACCGGUAAAGGAGGGUUUGGUAGAGCUUCUUUUCACAGUGCAUCAACGAAACUUAGCUUAGUUUAUUGGAUACUGCGAUGAUGGCUACGAGUACAUGGCUAAUGGCAACUUACAACACUAAUUUUUUAGUACUUACGGUUAAGGUUAAAAUUUUAUAAGUAUAAAUCAGAAUGAGAAGCAAGUAAAGCAACCUCGUCUGGGAAUAUUGGUUUAGAGCAGCAAAGAAUUUCAAUUUGGAGAUGACUUGGUGUAGCCAAGAACAAGCAAGCGGCUCUUGGAUGAUGUAACUGAGUUACGGUAACUAUCUUUUACCUCUCAUAAAACAAAACACAAACACAGGCUACACAGCCAAAAAAAAAAAAAUUCUUACACUCGAAACAUUAAAUUUUAAAACACAAACCCACGAAAACAUAAAACACACAAAACAAAAAAUCCACGUGCACACAAAAAUGCAGAAACAAACUUUACAACUUCACGAAUCACGAUUACAUAAACUCCACAACGAUCACAUAGAGUUUUGCUUCCUCUACAACACAAUUUUGAUUUUGAUUUUUUCACAAUGACUUGUAUAAUUUUAACUCAAUUCUUCUUGUUUUAAUAUUCUUUUUCCAAUGUAUUUUGAGCGUCAGUGAACUUGUAAAGUUUCUUGUUAUCAGUUAUUACAUUUUUUAAGUUGUUUUUUUUUUCUCUAGAAUUUGUAAUUAGGAUAUCAUUGUUCUUGUUGUAAUUCUUGUGUGAGGUUUUGCGUAAGUGUCUAAGAGUAUCUAACCCAAGAAGAAGGUUUCAGCAAAAGGAACAAAGAAAGGUCACGAGGAGCUCACGUGACGUCUAUGCAAUUCAACGUAGGACAAAGGAGUAAUUAACCUAUGUUUAAGCUCAAUCUCAUUUGUCUCCUUCCUCUGUACGGAACAGAGCAUGCGAGAAAGAAGAAGAGAGAGAGACAGGUUGUCUUGUAUAAAAGGGAGUAAGCUGAGAUGUUUUAGGGUUAAGAGAGCAAGAGAGAGGCGGCUGAGUUUAUAGCUAUUCUCUGUGUAACCAAGAACAGAGCUUUCUAGUGGAUUUCCGAGUAAUCUCGGCGAGACGUAGUGUUUCCAGUUUGGAACGUGAACUCGUUAAAGUUGUGCGUGUCUGUUUUA